UUUUUUUUAUAAAUGCAGGAAAUUCUUCCAACAUUUGAGGAAGGUGAGCUUGAAGUUGAAGAUGAUGAGUGAUGAAUCAAGUUUAUGUAAAAACUAAUACUUUUUGGUUAUUUUUUAAAACAAACUAUCAUGUGUUAUUUUAUUUUUUUGGUCUCAUAUCAUGUGUUAUUUUAAUUUUGUAUAUUUUGGAUAUCCAAACUUGGAAUAUUAAAUGAUGCAACAAUGUUAUCUAUUUUAUUU
rnacentral:lncRNA from 1 species